rnacentral:rRNA from 1 species
UGGGGAAUAUUGGACAAUGGGGGGAACCCUGAUCCAGCCAUGCCGCGUGUGUGAAGAAGGCCUUAUGGUUGUAAAGCACUUUAAGCGAGGAGGAGGGUACUGGUAUUAAUACUACCAGCUACUGGACGUUACUCGCAGAAUAAGCACUGGCUAACUCUGUGCCAGCAGCCGCGGUAAUACAGAGGGUGCGAGCGUUAAUCGGAUUUACUGGGCGUAAAGCGUGCGUAGGCGGCUAAUUGAGUCGGAUGUGAAAUCCCCGAGCUUAACUUGGGAAUUGCAUUCGAUACUGGUUAGCUAGAGUGUGGGAGAGGAUGGUAGAAUUCCAGGUGUAGCGGUGAAAUGCGUAGAGAUCUGGAGGAAUACCGAUGGCGAAGGCAGCCAUCUGGCCUAACACUGACGCUGAGGUACGAAAGCAUGGGGAGCAAACAGG